AUGGCGGCCCGUGCGCAUCCACCGCCAUCCACCGCCACCCACCGCCAUCCACCGCCAUCCGCGGCCUCCCGCCGCCGGGGCCGCCUCCGCGGGCCGCCGCACCUCCGAUGGCUCCCGGGGCCGUGCGGAGUGCGGCGCUUCCCGCCCAUCGGGCCACGCCGCGGUCGUGAGGGGCCGCGGGGCUGUCGUGGGCCGUCCCGGGGGAUCGAGGCUCCCUCGGGAGCGGAUUCCCGCUGCAGGCUCCAGCAUGGGGGGGCCUGGCGUGGCCCCUGCCAUUCCUGUAGCGCUGCCAGAGCAUCCCGGGGCCGUUUGAGGCCGCUCCCGGCGCCUCCCGGGGGCGGUCAUAGAAUCCUCGGACAUGCCCGGGUGGGUGGGACGUGGGGGGACUGCGGGAGCCCGAAACCCCCGGGCGCGGUGGGGCCCGUGGCAUUCCUGCUUUCCCGUUCCAGGCUCCUGCUCCGAGCAUCCAGAGGGAUUCAGGAAGCCACCGGGAAGAAGGAAAUGGAUUCAAGGCACCUAGCACCACAAUUAGCCCACUUUUGGUUAAUUUAGGCUACCAAGGCCUCGGCCCCUCGUCUCCCAGGGCUGAAAUUCCAUGGGAAUGCCUCGACCGAGACAUGGAGCUCCAUCCUGGCAGGAGUUACUUGCUGGCACCGCUGCCCAGGCUGCCUCCAUGGUGAUGCAGAGGGAUCAGGAGGCCCCCAGGAAGGAGGAAGCGGGUGCAAGGCUGUUGUGGCUGUAAUUAACGCAGCCCUGUUAAUGAGCCAGCAGGAGGUGUGUGCUGGGUGUCACCUGCUGGAGACUCGGCUCAGCCCACCCUUCCCAGGCUGUGCUGUUACCCUACAGGGAGCUGUGCAGAGGCUGGAGCAGCAGGGCAGAGUCCCUGUGGAAGAACCCGGAGGAUUCAGCGACACCAGAGUCAGGGAAUUAAACAUGAACCAUCGUUUGAACGUG